CGACCAAAGAAAUUGAUAUAUUGAAAAAUAAAAGUAUACAUAACUAGUCUAGUACCGUUACAACAAUGGCAUUGUAUCAGCCACCAUAUCAUAUUACAAAAUUCCGUCGUAUACUAGUGCAUCGAACAAAUCCAAUCUAACCCACAAAUAAUAUAAUAACAAAUUUUAUCCUGUGCUAGUGCACCCAAAAACUAGAUCUGAAUUUGAUGUCAUUCCCGAUAGUAAUAUAUUUGACGAUGUUGGAGCUACUUGAGUGAAUGGUAGGAAAGCAAGAUUGAUCUUGGACACAUGAGGCUGACGGUUGGUCGAUUUAUCACAAUCUGAACAUGAGAAGAGGGAAAACGAACUGAAGAGGUUGGAAACAACGUGAGGGAAGAAUAUGAAAUCCGAUCUCGAUGUGGAUAAGAGAUUUGAUUCUGAGCUUACUUGACGAGAAUGGAAGACCCGAUAGACGAGGCAUGUCAGAAGAUGGAUCAAUGGUCAUGGCGGUGAUGGCAGCUGAAAGUCUCAAUGGAGAGCAAAGUGAUGGCAGGGGUUUCGCCGACGAGGAGAAGGAUGGACUAACGAUGGCGGCAUGAAAGAGAGAGGUAUGGUGAUGAAUAGAGAAUUUUUUCAUGUGGCGACUACUUUCGGUGGAAUGAAUAAGUAAAGUUUUGAUAAGGAUAUAAAUAUUUGUAUUGCAACGGAUCUACUCCUAGUGAUAGAGUCAAUCAAAUAUAAGGAGCAAAAAAGUAAAGACACCAGAUUUGUUUAUGCUAUUCAAAGAGUAAACUCGCCUAAUCAGCGAAGUCUCAGAGAGGGAAUGGUGUGCCCAAAGAUGC
rnacentral:lncRNA from 1 species